GGCAUGUUGUUAGUAGCGGCAGUAAUGGAGCUGCUGCUAGCUGCUCUCACUGAUAAAUACCACUGCUGCCAAAGCACCUGUGCUGCCAGCCAUCAGCUUGAGGAGGGAAGUGGAGGAAGGGGAAUACAAACACUGGUGGAGUGUGACUCCCCUGCUCCCAGGGGUGCUCUGGUUUGGAUUGGGCUCCUGUGCAGCGACAUUUCCUUGUGGAGGCUGUGCAUGCUUCAGCAGCCAUUUGUGGGAAUGCUGCUUUCCAAAUUGUCAGCAGCGAGAAGCAAAGGAAUCACUUUUCUACCUCUGAUCUCCCAACUAUUCUUAAUGGGCAUGUAUCCAGACAUUUUCAUUAAUGAAUAUUCAGUGUUUGACCAGAAGAGUAGAUCUACUCAGAAUAUAACUUUUUCCCAGUGAGGCAACGUUAAAGACACAAUAUGAGAACAGCCUUCUUUGUGUGAUGUUCAAAAGGCUUGAAUCUUUUUAAAUAUGAACUGGACUACAAAGAGGAAGACAUGAGAGAUAGACUAUAUAGUCCACACACACUGCUUACAGUUUUUUUACAGGAAAUGGGCCACUGCUGGUUUUUUUGCAAGUCAGGACAGGGAGAGACUGAAUUGGGUCUCUUGUAAAUUACUCACCUGUUAUACAAGUAUAAAAGGAAAAGUGCAAUCUGUCUUGGCUGUGCAGUAUGGACAAGGAUGCUGAUUUGAGGCCUGUGGAGGAAGUAUAUUUUUGUGGUAUCAUGAUUAGACUCGUAGGACAGAGGAACAAGACAGCUUGGUGCUCUCAAGACUUCGGUAUUUCUGCACAUAUCCAGUCUGAACAAUAUAGACAUUUAGAAAUCUGGGCUGAGAAAUGUAAGAUCUUAAGAUAUGUAGGCUCCAGUCAUCAAAUACAUCUAAUAAGUCCAGAAAAUUCAUCCAAAAAAAAAAAAAAAUCCCAUUUGGCAGCUUUGUAGUGGUUGUUGUUUUAAUAUAUAUACAAAGACUUAUUAUCAUAAAAUAUUGCAAAAGAAUCUGGAAGGUCCACUGAUCUAAUAAGCAGUCAGUCAGUGCAGUGGCAGAAAGCAAGUCGGGAUACAUGCAUGCAUAUAUAUGUGUCUGUUGAUAACACAGAAUGUGCUUUAUGUGUUGACAUAUAUACUGUGGACGGUAGCAGAGCAGACUGGUGGAAUCCAGGGCUGUUCCCUGUCCUUAGUAGUAAGUGUGCAUGUUUGGUAGCCUAAGACAGACAGAACGAUGUUGUUAUGGUUCUGCUGCUGCUAACACUGCUUUUUCUAGCAAAUAAAUAUAUUAUCUAUUGAUUUUUGUAUUGCUGAUUCUGGAAACUGAGCCAAGGUGGCAAAAGAUGGAAGAAAAGGAAAAUAUUUGUUCAUGAUAAAUCUGAAAGUAUGUUUAAUAAUCAACACUUUAUGAGUGUGAACUUAAUAUGAAGAAGAGAAGAUUGAGACUAAGAGAUUUGCAACUCUCAGACGAGUGGUAUCGUUCUGAUGUAUUAUUUACAGAGUGACUCUGAGCAAUUUUAUUCUUUCUUAUCUCUUAUGCAAGCAAGUAUAGCUAAAGUAGCCAUGAGCUGGUAAACAGUUAAACAUAUUCCUUAUUGAAAACAAAUGCUAUAGUUUGUGGCUUUUUGGAUACUUUAAAAACAGCAAAUGAGAAAUGAAGUAAAAUAAAAUAACAACAAAAACUUUUGUACUAACACCUGACAGGUCUUGGUACUGGUUAACUAAUGCAGAUUUUAUAUUGGAUUCUCCAGUGAAUUCAGAAGAAUGAAUUAAUUUGAGAUGGCAUUAUGUAACUUUAGAAAUUAUUAGGACAUUCUUAGGAAAGUUAGAAAUUUAGAAAUUCUUAGGACGUUUAUCUUUUUGAUAUACUCUUCUAGUGAAGUAGUCCAGGAAUUUUUGGCACUCAAAUAAAAGGUUCACCAGAGAAAAGGCCUUAAAUUGUAGCAUAGCAUGAAGUAGUGUGUUCUCUUGGUACUAAAUGAUCCUGUAUUCCCUAUCACUGGAGGAAAUAUCUAAUAAAUGACUAUGUGAAAAGGAAAA